GAUUGGGGAGAUACGAAAGUAAUUGGCUGGAAGAAUUGCCUAGCGUUUUAUGGGCAAUCAGAACAACAGAAAAAGGAGGAGCAAGAUGACUAAGAGCAUCCUCACAGACGGCAGCAUCCUUGAAAGUAUCAUCAUUCUUCACUUGCCAAGCAGGCACAUAAACACCUUCAGGAUCCAACCCUCCAGCGUCCCUGCUUGAUGAUUCUUGAACAGGGGUAACCUUCUUACCUCGAACCUUCUUGCCAUGAACAACCAACUCCUUAUCUUGUUCAACACCCGCUUCAACCUGAUCCUCUGAAACCUCAAUAUCAUCAGUCAAAUCCACUGGCUCAGUGGAAGUGGAUUGAGGCCCAGCUUUCAGCAAACGACGAGAAGAUCGGCGACUUGAAGACUUAGGGGCAGUAGA
rnacentral:lncRNA from 1 species